rnacentral:tRNA from 1 species
GGUCGCAUUGCUUAGAUGGCAAAGCGCUUGUCUAGUAAGCAGGAGAUCACGAGUUCCAGUCUCGUUGUGGUGA